rnacentral:rRNA from 1 species
UACGUAGGGUGCAAGCGUUGUCCGGAAUUAUUGGGCGUAAAGAGCUCGUAGGCGGUCUGUCGCGUCUGCUGUGAAAACCCGGGGCUUAACCCCGGGCCUGCAGUGGGUACGGGCAGACUAGAGUACUGCAGGGGAGACUGGAAUUCCUGGUGUAGCGGUGAAAUGCGCAGAUAUCAGGAGGAACACCGGUGGCGAAGGCGGGUCUCUGGGCCGAUACUGACGCUGAGGAGCGAAAGCGUGGGGAGCAAACGGG